rnacentral:rRNA from 1 species
AACGAACGCUGGCGGCGUGCCUAACACAUGCAAGUCGAACGGAUGUAGCAAUACAUUAGUGGCGCACGGGUGAGUAAAGCAUGGGAGAUCUGCCCUACGGAGAUGGAUAGCUACGGGAAACUGUAGAUAAUACGUCGUAAGCAAUGCGCUAGAAAGAGUGUAUUGGAAAGGCUGGGACCGCAAGGCCAGUCGCCGAAGGA